CACAAAACAAACAAGAAAAUCUGAUGUAAAGUAAUUAAGGUAGUAGUGACUCAAGUAGAUGGUUGGCAACCUGAGUGUUCUCACCUUGGUAAUUACAGAAAAGGGAGAGACGGACAUUCCUGGACUAACAGACAGUGCUGUGCCUUGGUGAUUGGGGCCCCAAAGAGCUCACAGAAUCUGAAAUCUCUGAGGAAUAUCAUGCCUACUAAUAUGAAAGCCCUAAGCAAAGAAGGUCAGAAGCCCAGGGCCAAAGCAGUUAAGAUUCAUCAUCCCAUGUGUUCCGCAACACAAGCGCUCUGAAGGAAGAGUUCACUGACACAAACAUGGAGUAUAUGACAAGCUGUUCAUCAAGAGAGUGAAGAAGACAAAGAACCCAGGGAAGAGAUCGCCAGGAGUCACCAGUUGUCCUCACUGAGAGCCUAUACCUCCAAGCCUAAGUCCAGGCAAAAAAUGUCUUACAGGAUAUGGUCUGAGUAGUCCAACCAUGGAUAUGUCAUACUGGAGCAGCUGAGAACCUGGCAAUAGUCCACAAUGCUGGAUGUCUCCACAGUCCCAACCUGACACCAGAGACAUGGAGGACUCCUGAAGAACUUCUGGUCCUUAAGUGCACACUGGAAGCCCAGAGAAGCUAGCUCUAAUAUCAACCAAGAAUGCAGCAGAACAGGAGAUAGGCUUGCCCUCUCAUCAUCCAGGCUGCAACCAACCAAAAGACACUUUUGUGGAUUUGUAGUCUUUGCUUUUUCUGGACAGGGUUUCUCUGUAUAUCCCCAGCUGUCCUGGAACUCUCUAUACAGGCCAGUCUGGCCUUGAACUUAGAGAUCUUCCUACCUCUGCCUCCCUGAGCACUGGAAUUAAAGGCUUAUGCCACCUCACCCUGCUAAUACCGCCCACUUUUAGGAUACAUCUUUCUGCUUCAAAUGAUCAGAUCAAGAAGAGUCUUUUGAAAGAGCAGGAGGUUUGUGUUAUUCCAGAUCUAAUCUACUUGACAGGUAAGACUGGAGUUCCACCACUGGGACCCCACAGCAGAAGGAUGGACUCCCACAAGCUGUCCUCUGACCUCCAUACAAACCUUAUGGUGCAUGUUUGAGGAUAUACAUUUGAGUGUUUGCGCAUAUACACAAAAUGAAU
ensembl:lncRNA LOC100909782 uncharacterized LOC100909782